UUCAGAACGUCGUGAGACAGUUCGGUCCCUAUCCGUCGUGGGCGUAGGAAAUUUGAGAGGAGCUGUCCUUAGUACGAGAGGACCGGGAUGGACAUACCUCUGGUGUACCAGUUGUCGUGCCAACGGCAUAGCUGGGUAGCUAUGUGUGGACGGGAUAAGUGCUGAAAGCAUCUAAGCAUGAAGCCCCCCUCAAGAUGAGAUUUCCCAACUUCGGUUAUAAGAUUCCUCAAAGAUGAUGAGGUUAAUAGGUUCGAGGUGGAAGCAUGGUGACAUGUGGAGCUGACGAAUACUAAUCGAUCGAAGACUUAAUCAAAA
rnacentral:rRNA from 1 species